ACCAGCAGCUGUAUCUCCCUGCAAUUCACUUAGGGUAUUUAACUGUCAGCCUACUGAAGCUCAGCAGGUGUGAGCCUGGUUAGUACCUGGAUGGGAGACUUCCUGGGAAAACUAAGGUUGCUGCUGGAA
rnacentral:rRNA from 1 species